rnacentral:rRNA from 1 species
GUCUUUUUGAUAAUAAUUUAAAGUCUGGCCUGCCCUAUGAAAAAUUAAAUGGCCGCAGUAUUCUGACUGUGCAAAGGUAGCAUAAUCAUUAGUUUUUUAAUUGAAAGCUUGUAUGAAAGGUUAGAUAAGAAAAUAACUGUCUCUAUUAAAAUUAAUUAGAAUUUUAUUUUUAAGUAAAAAAGCUUAAAUGUGUAUAAAAGACGAGAAGACCCUAUAGAGUUUUAUAUUCUAAUAUUAUAAGGGUUUUAGAAUUUAUAUUUUUAUAAUAUUAUAAUAUUUAGUUGGGGUGAUUAAAAAAUUUAAUAAACUUUUUUUUUAUAGAAUCAUUGAUUUAUGAGUGAAUGAUCCUUGUUAUAGAUUAUAARAUUAAAUUACCUUAGGGAUAACAGCGUAAUUUUUUUUAAAAGUUCAAAUUUARAAAAAAGUUUGCRACCUCGAUGUUGGAUUAAAAUAAAAUUUUGGKGUARAASCUAARAAUUUGGGUCUGUUCGACCCUUAAUAUUUUACAUGAUCUGAGUUUAAACCGGCGUGAGCCAGGUCGGUU